rnacentral:rRNA from 1 species
UCGAACGUAAGAUGACUGUAGGUGAAAGCUUACAUCUCUUCGGAGCAUUUUACGAGGUGCUGCAUGGUUGUCGUCAGCUCGUGCCGUGAGGUGUCGGGUUAAGUCCCAUAACGAGCGCAACCCCUACCUUUAGUUGCCAUCAGGUUAAGCUGGGACUCUAAAGGAACUGCCUACGCAAGUAGUGAGGAAGGCGGGGAUGACGUCAAAUCAGCACGGCCCUUACGUCCAGGGCUACACACGUGCUACAAUGGCCGAUACAGAGGGCAGCUACCUGGUGACAGGAUGCAAAAUCUCCAAAGUCGGUCUCAGUUCGGAUCGGAGUCUGCAACCCGACUCCGUGAAGUUGGAUUCGCUAGUAAUCGCGCAUCAGCCAUGGCGCGGUGAAUACGUUCCCGGGCCUU